rnacentral:rRNA from 1 species
GCACAAGCAGUGGAGUAUGUGGUUUAAUUCGAAGCAAACGCGAAGAACCUUUACCAGGUCUUGACAUCCCGAUGCUAUUCUAGAGAUAGAAAGUUACUUCGGUACAUCGGUGACAGGUGGUGCAUGGUUGUCGUCAGCUCGUGUCGUGAGAUGUUGGGUUAAGUCCCGCAACGAGCGCAACCCCUAUUGUUAGUUGCCAUCAUUCAGUUGGGCACUCUAGCGAGACUGCCGGUAAUAAACCGGAGGAAGUGGGGAUGACGUCAAAUCAUCAUGCCCCUUAUGACCUGGGCUACACACGUGCUACAAUGGUUGGUACAACGAGUUGCGAGUCGGUGACGGCGAGCUAAUCUCUUAAAGCCAAUCUCAGUUCGGAUUGUAGGCUGCAACUCGCCUACAUGAAGUCGGAAUCGCUAGUAAUCGCGGAUCAGCACGCCGCGGUGAAUACGUUCCCGGGCCUU